AGAGAGCUUGCUUUCUCGAGCGAGUGGCGAACGGGUGAGUAACGCGUGAGGAACCUGCCUCAAAGAGGGGGACAACAGUUGGAAACGACUGCUAAUACCGCAUAAGCCCACAGGUCGGCAUCGACCAGAGGGAAAAGGAGCAAUCCGCUUUGAGAUGGCCUCGCGUCCGAUUAGCUAGUUGGUGAGGUAAUGGCCCACCAAGGCGACGAUCAGUAGCCGGACUGAGAGGUUGACCGGCCACAAUGGGACUGAGACACGGCCCAUACUCC
rnacentral:rRNA from 1 species